GUGGGGAAUAUUGCACAAUGGGCGCAAGCCUGAUGCAGCAACGCCGCGUGAGGGAUGACGGCCUUCGGGUUGUAAACCUCUUUUAGCAAGGAAGAAGCGAAAGUGACGGUACUUGCAGAAAAAGCGCCGGCUAACUACGUGCCAGCAGCCGCGGUAAUACGUAGGGCGCAAGCGUUGUCCGGAAUUAUUGGGCGUAAAGAGCUCGUAGGCGGUUGGUCGCGUCUGCUGUGAAAACCCGAGGCUCAACCUCGGGCCUGCAGUGGGUACGGGCAGACUAGAGUGCGGUAGGGGAGAAUGGAACUCCUGGUGUAGCGGUGGAAUGCGCAGAUAUCAGGAAGAACACCGAUGGCGAAGGCAGUUCUCUGGGCCGUAACUGACGCUGAGGAGCGAAAGCGUGGGGAGCAAACAGGAUUAGAAACCCGAGUAGUCC
rnacentral:rRNA from 1 species